rnacentral:tRNA from 1 species
GCAUCGGUGGUUCAGUGGUAGAAUGCUCGCCUGCCACGCGGGCGCCCGGUUCGAUUCCCGGCCGAUGCA